AAAGGGUGCGUAGGUGGCCUGUUAAGUCAGGGGUGAAAGACGGUAGCUCAACUAUCGCAGUGCCCUUGAUACUGAUGGGCUUGAAUGAACUAGAGGUAGGCGGAAUGUGACAAGUAGCGGUGAAAUGCAUAGAUAUGUCACAGAACACCAAUUGCGAAGGCAGCUUACUAUGGUUUUAUUGACACUGAGGCACGAAAGCGUGGGGAUCAAACAGGAUUAGAUACCCCAGU
rnacentral:rRNA from 1 species